rnacentral:rRNA from 1 species
UGCUCCUACGGGACGCAGCAGUGAGGAAUAUUGGUCAAUGGGCGAGAGCCUGAACCAGCCAAGUCGCGUGAAGGAUGACGGCCCUACGGGUUGUAAACUUCUUUUGUCAGGGAGCAAUUGGGUCCACGUGUGGGCUUAGCGAGAGUACCUGAAGAAAAAGCAUCGGCUAACUCCGUGCCAGCAGCCGCGGUAAUACGGAGGAUGCGAGCGUUAUCCGGAUUUAUUGGGUUUAAAGGGUGCGCAGGCGGAGGUGCAAGUCAGCGGUCAAAUUGCGGGGCUCAACCCCGUACUGCCGUUGAAACUGC